AUACGUAGGGUGCAAGCGUUAAUCGGAAUUACUGGGCGUAAAGCGUGCGCAGGCGGUUUUGUAAGACAGUGGUGAAAUCCCCGGGCUCAACCUGGGAAAUGCCAUUGUGACUGCAAGGCUGGAGUGCGGCAGAGGGGGAUGGAAUUCCGCGUGUAGCAGUGAAAUGCGUAGAUAUGCGGAGGAACACCGAUGGCGAAGGCAAUCCCCUGGGCCUGCACUGACGCUCAUGCACGAAAGCGUGGGGAGCAAACAGGAUUAGAUACCCUGGUAGUCCACGCCCUAAACGAUGUCAACUGGUUGUUGGGGAUUUAUUUUCUCAGUAACGAAGCUAACGCGUGAAGUUGACCGCCUGGGGAGUACGGCCGCAAGGUUAAAACUCAAAUGAAUUGACGGGG
rnacentral:rRNA from 1 species